rnacentral:rRNA from 1 species
CAAAAACAUCGCCUCCCGCAAAAACCUACGUAUAGGAGGUCCUGCCUGCCCAGUGACUAUAAGUUAAACGGCCGCGGUAUUUUGACCGUGCAAAGGUAGCGCAAUCACUUGUCUUUUAAAUGAAGACCUGUAUGAAUGGUGAAACGAGGGCUUAACUGUCUCCCCCUUCUAGUCAAUGAAAUUGAUUUACCCGUGCAGAAGCGGGUAUAAUAAUACAAGACGAGAAGACCCUUUGGAGCUUAAGAUAAAAGACCAAUUAUGUCAAAAGUCCUAAAAAAGACUAAACCAAAUAAUGCUGGUCCUUAAUCUUCGGUUGGGGUGACCACGGGAAAAAAUAAAACUCCCAUGCGGACUGGGGUAUUCCCUAAAACUAAGAAAGACAUCUCUAAGAUACAGAACAUCUGACCACAAAGAUCCGGCUACAUGCCGACCAACGGACCAAGUUACCCUAGGGAUAACAGCGCAAUCCCCUUCCAGAGUUCAUAUCGACAAGGGGGUUUACGACCUCGAUGUUGGAUCAGGACAUCCUAAUGGUGCAGCCGCUAUUAAGGGUUC